GAUGAAGAACGCAGCGAAAUGCGAUAAGUAAUGUGAAUUGCAGAAUUCAGUGAAUCAUCGAAUCUUUGAACGCACAUUGCGCCCAUUAGUAUUCUAGUGGGCAUGCCUGUUCGAGCGUCAUUAAGUCCACUUAAGCCCUGCUUAGUGUUGGGAGACUGCUCCAGCGGUGCUACCCUGUAGCUACCCUGCAGCUCCUCAAAGACAGCGGCGGAGUUGUGGUAUCCUCUGAGCUUAGUAACUUGUUCUAGCUUUCGAGUNNACCACUUCCCCUGCCGUAAAACCCUUAAUUUUUAAUGGUUGACCUCGGAUCAGGUAGGAAUACCCGCUGAACUUAAGCAUAUCAAUAAGCGGAGGA
rnacentral:misc_RNA from 1 species